rnacentral:rRNA from 1 species
GACGGAAGGUGCAAGCGUUGCUCGGAAUCACUGGGCGUAAAGGGUGCGUAGGCGGCUUGGUGGGUCUGGUGUGAAAGCCCCGGGCUCAGCCCGGGAAGGGCACUAGAAACUGCCGAGCUGGAGUGCCGGAGGGGAGAGUGGAAUUCCUGGUGUAGCGGUGAAAUGCGUAGAUAUCAAGAGGAACACCUGAGGUGAAGACGGGUUGCUGGGCUGACACUGACGCUGAUGCGCGAAAGCCAGGGGAGCAAACGGG